AGUGAACGCUGGCGGUAGGCCUAACACAUGCAAGUCGAACGGCAGCACAGUAAGAGCUUGCUCUUACGGGUGGCGAGUGGCGGACGGGUGAGGAAUACAUCGGAAUCUACUUUUUCGUGGGGGAUAACGUAGGGAAACUUACGCUAAUACCGCAUACGACCUGCGGGUGAAAGCAGGGGAUCUUCGGACCUUGCGCGAUUGAAUGAGCCGAUGUCGGAUUAGCUAGUUGGCGGGGUAAAGGCCCACCAAGGCGACGAUCCGUAGCUGGUCUGAGAGGAUGAUCAGCCACACUGGAACUGAGACACGGUCCAGACUCCUACGGGAGGCAGCAGUGGGGAAUAUUGGACAAUGGGCGCAAGCCUGAUCCAGCCAUACCGCGUGGGUGAAGAAGGCCUUCGGGUUGUAAAGCCCUUUUGUUGGGAAAGAAAAGCAGCAGGUUAAUACCCCGCUGUUCUGACGGUACCCAAAGAAUAAGCACCGGCUAACCUCGUG
rnacentral:rRNA from 1 species